rnacentral:lncRNA from 1 species
CUCUUAAAUCAUCUUUUUACAAUCCUAGUCUGCUCUCCUUCAUUAAGAAAUGCUGUGCUACUUAGACCACUUAACAUUAUUUUACUUAAUGCUGUAAUGGAAUGCAUCAUUUAUAUUAGCUACUAUUAGCUGGCAAGGACUCAGGAGACAAACUAUAAUGGUAGGUUUUUGGUAGCAUUGUAUAUUAGCAUUUUUAUAGCUGAUCAGCCAUGAACACUUGCUAAAAGGUUGCAGUUAGUAAUUUAGUCAAACAAAUAAAAUGUUUUCCCUUAUUAUUUAUUUUUAUGACAUGAUAUUUUUCUUCAUUCCAUCAUUAUUUCCCUUGGUUUCUGAAAGGCAGGAUUAUGUUUAUUCUGUCUUCAGUGAAAGCAAACAGCCAUCCUGUGAAGCAGGUUGGCCAAAAAGCAGUUCACUUUGGCACACCAAGGAUCAUACCUGGCUGGUAUAGAGUACCAGCUGCACUAGCUGAGGCAUCAGGGCAUCCGCCAUGAUCAGAGUCUGUAAAUUUGGAUGCAUCAAGGAGGUCAGUAACACUGGAAGAAGGUGACCAAGCAUAGUAGCCUUAGUAACUUGUUCCAAGCCUUUUAACCUACAAAAAGUUCAAGAAAAACACACAGCCUAAGCAAUGCCCAAACAUGUGAAGAAGCACUAAUGUCAUCUUUAUCUGACAAUUUCUCCUAAACUGCACCUCCUUAAACUACUUAAGCACUUUCAGCGAUAGCAAUUCAGUCCACAAAUUUUCCACCUUCUGCCACUGAGGGAGAGGGGAAGAACAGAAAUAAAGCUAUUAAUAGAUUUCACCUUCAGUCUCUGAUUUUUGCCAAAAAAUUUAUAAGCUGCCUUUUUUUUUUUUUUUUUUUUUGACAGGCUCUCACUCUUGUUACCCAGGCUGGAGUGCAGUGGUACGAUCACAGCUCACUGCAGCCUUGAUCUCCUGGGUACAAGUGAUCCUCCCACCUCGGUCUCCCAAAUUGUUGGGAUUACAGGUAUGAACUACUUAGGUUCUAGGUUCUAGGUUGCUACAUGGUGCAUUUCAUAGCACCUUUGAAGCACUUUACAAAUGGAUUCUAAAAUGCCAAUGGCUACUACCUGUAAAGUUCUCUUGCCUCUGGGGCUGCUGGUCACUAUGCUACACAGUGACUCUAAACAGGAGGAAGUGAAUGGCUACAACAUUGAUUCACCUGCCCAGAGCUGUGACAUCCAUUACUGGUCUAGAGAAACUGAGGCUUGUCUGGGGCAUGCAGAAGCAGGCAGAUUUCUUCCCCCAAUUUUUUUUUUUAUUAUGGUAAAAUAAACAUAGCACAAAAUUUACCAUCUUAACCAUUUUAAGUGUACAUUUCAGUGUUAUUAAAUAAUGUUGUGCAACCAUCACCACCAUCCAUCUCCACAACUCUUUUUGUGUUAUAAAACCCAAACUCUAUGCGCAUUAAACAAUAACUCCUCAUUUUCCCCUUGCCCCCAGCCCCCGGCAACCACCAUUCUACUUUCUGUCUCUAUGAUUUUGACUCAUCUAAGUAGGCAAAUUUUUAAUUUAUCUUUAAAAUCACAUUCUUAAUAUCCCUGUCCUCUGCUAGAAGAGUUAAGGAAUGUAGAAAGAAAUGGAUUAUGUAAAUUCCUUAAGGCUACUUAGGAUAUUGGUAGUGGAACCAGAAACCCAGGCUCUCCCAUUAGACAGAACUACGUAUUACUAAGCCUCAAUGCAAUGCCUAUCUGGGUUAUACUGUUCCCAAUCCCAACCUCCUAUCUACUCUCUGGGAGUGGGUAAGAACCAAGUCCAUAGGAACAGACAGGGUUACGGAAGCAAAAAUUACACUGUAGGAUUCUUUUAGAUCUACAGCUCCAACAUGCAAAUUGUCAAAAAACACAGUAUUCAAUGCAUCUCUAAAAACAAACCAGAGCAGAAUUUUUUUUUUUUUUUGAGACAGAGUCUCGCUCUGUCACCCAGGCUGGAGUGCAGUGGGAUGAUCUCGGCUCACUGCAAGCUCCGCCUCCCAGGUUCAGGCCAUUCUCCUGCCUUAGCCUCCUGAGUAGCUGGGACUACAGGUGCCUGCCACCAUGCCUGGCUAAUUUUUUUUUUUUUUUUUGUAUUUUUAGUAGAGAUGGGGUUACAGCAGAAAUUUUAAUGUGAAAGGCUGAGAAAGGGCUUUAUUACUGUGAAAGAGAAGUCUGCCCUCUAUAUAGGUCAGCCAUGUAUUUGGAGAAGUAAAAUUACAGUAAAAUCUUGAGGUACCACAUCAGUGUCAUCCUUUGUGUAGCAGUUGGUAAGUCACUUCUUCCUCCCAAAAGUCUUUAUCAUGAGGAAACUAAGUGUGCAUGGUGCUGACCUUGAUAAUUAAAGGAAAGGCCAUUUUGGGAGUGAUGGCAGUAGAAGUCUCAAGUGGCAGAGAUUAGGCUGUGCCCUCCACAACCUCGCUACCCUUAGAUCAUGGCUGUUGGCCCAAUCUCACCUGAAAGCACAUGAAAGAGUGUGACUGCACUUGGCUUUCAAACACUUGCCCUUUUAGCCUAUUCUCACAAAAAUCUCUCUAUAUAAAAUUGAUCCUUCUAUAUUCUAAAAAGAUUUAAUUUCAAUAAACAAACUUUUCUUCCCACAGGGCAGCUGGUCACAGCCCACAAUCCAUUCCUCACCUCUGCUCACGGUCUGCUAUGUCACUAUUUAUGAGGGCAGUUGUGACCUGCUGUAG